GACGAACGCUGGCGGCGUGCUUAACACAUGCAAGUCGAACGGAAAGGCCUCUUUCGGGGGGUACUCGAGUGGCGAACGGGUGAGUAACACGUGAGUAACCUGCCCUUGACUUUGGGAUAACUUCAGGAAACUGGGGCUAAUACCGGAUAGGAGCUCCUGCUGCAUGGUGGGGGUUGGAAAGUUUCGGCGGUUGGGGAUGGACUCGCGGCUUAUCAGCUUGUUGGUGGGGUAGUGGCUUACCAAGGCUUUGACGGGUAGCCGGCCUGAGAGGGUGACCGGCCACAUUGGGACUGAGAUACGGCCCAGACGCCUACGGGAGGCAGCAGUGGGGAAUAUUGCACAAUGGGUGGAAGCCUGAUGCAGCAACGCCGUGUGCGGGAUGACGGCCUUCGGGUUGGAAACCGCUUUCGCUCAUGACGAAGCUUUGUGUGACGGUAGUGGGUAAAGAAGCACCGGCUAACUACGUG
rnacentral:rRNA from 1 species